GAAUGAUGAAUUCUCUUCAGUAGCAUUGGUUUUUGUUGUUGUUGUUGUUGUUGUUGUUUUCCUUUGCUUUGCUGAGAUAGUUAGAGGCCUAGAGAGCAUUUCUUUAACAGACAUCCUUAUGUAUCAUGAGCAUCAAAUACCAUUUCCUGAGAAAGUCAUCAAACUUACACCUGAUUAUGUGUCUUCCCAGUCCACUGCAGAGAUCUCAGACUGACUCAAUAGCUCCCACCAUCCUUUAAAAGCCAGCACAGAAGUGAUUCUCAGUUACUUCCACACCUCUCAUGGCAGUAACGAUGUACAGACCAGGCUGUAAAGCACUGUGAAUGAGGUGGGUCCACAGCAGUUAUAAAAUUGCCCUGUGAGCUGGUUCUGCACUGGGGGGUCAUUAAGGUUCCCAUUUCAAGAACAUCCCUCGCCCUCUGGCCACAUCGGGAUAAACACAGCAUUCUCCAUGGGCUCUAUCUCUCUGCCCAGCUGUGACUUAAAGAGUUUAUUUCUAGGUACUCCAGGCAUUUCAUUGCAGCCCACUUCCACCUCCACCCUCAGCUGACAACCGGAGACACUCAGUAAUUAUCAGCAGUCUUCACUUGCAAUGAUUCUCUACCACACUAAAUACAAAUACGGAUAGUGUGGGCACAAAAUCCUCUGUAAAUUCUGAUACUGGGAAACUAAGUAGUUCUGUAGAAAAUGGUUGGAUUAAGAGAUUUUUUCAAGAAUUGAGGCCAUAGUGUUGAAUAACUUUUGGGGGUAACCUAUGCAUAAAUCCUGGGACUGUUCAUUUUGAGAGACAUUACAAACCUUAGCUGCUGACUUGUCUUAGUUAGGGUUUCUAUUGCUGUAAAGAGACACCAUGACCACAGCAACUCUUCUAAAGGAAAACAUUUAAUUGGGGCUGGCUUCCAGAUUCAGAGGCUUAGUCCAUAUUGUUACAGUGAGAAGCAUGGCAGCAUGCAGGCAGACAUGGUGCUGGAGAGGUGUCUGAGAGUUCUACAUCUUGAUUCACAGGAAGCAGGAAGAGACUAUGAGCCACAGUGUAACUUGAGUAUAUGGGACCUCAAAAACUGUCCCACAGUGACACACUUCUUCCAACAAGGCCACACCUACAUCAAUAAGGCCAUACUCCCUAAUACUGCCACUCCCUAUGGGCCAAGUAUUCAAACAUAUGAAUCUACAUGGCCAUUCCUAUCGAAACCACCAUAUUCCACUUUCUGGCACCCCUAGGCUUGUAGCCAUACCAUAAUACGGAAAUGCAUUCAGUCUAACUUCACAAGUCUGCACAGUCUAUAAUUGUCUCAAAUUUGCUUAAAAUUCCAAAGUUCAAAGUCUCUUCUGAGACUCGUGCAAUCUCUUAACUGUAAUCCCCUGCAAAACAAUGAAGAAGCAGAUCACAUACUUCCAACAUUUAAUGGCACAGGAUAUACAUUAUUGUUCCAAAAUGGAGAAAAGGGAGCAUAGUGAAAUAUUGGCCACAACACACACUAUCCACACAGACACUCUGCAACCCAGACAGGUACAGGUAGCAUCAUGAACACCCCAAGGUAUUCUUUCUCCAGAGAGAAGGAACAAGAAGAACCACUGGAAAAGCAGCAGAUCUGGAGAGGAAGAAAGUGUCAGGUUGCUAGGAACCUGGCCUAUCUGGCUGAUGGAUAUGGAAUCUUCUUAUGAUGGGAAAGGCCAGGUUAAAUAUCCCUUUCUGGGGAUAUUCUUCAGGCAGUAGGCUAGAAGAAAAACAAAAUUAACCAAGAUUUCUUGAAUACAGCAGUAUGUUUUAUGAAGCAGUUGUCCUUGUUUGUAGGUGAAGCAAAGCCUUGAUGUUUGCAGGCACCCUGUGAUCCAGGUAGUAUUUACUCUUAGCUGGAAGCAACAAUAUACUAAAGGCAGAAUCAGCCAUUGUGUGCUGAGAGCAUGGGCACAGUCCUUCAAGAAGCGGGAAAGUGGGGAGCAUCGAGUGACCAAACCAAUGGUAGACAGGACAUGGAGCCCAGUUCUGAACACAUUGGAUGAUUGGGACCACUUCCUGGUUGGCCUUUGCUACACAGAGUAGCAGGAGUUGAUUAUAUUGGUUACAUUUUUCAUUGUUACGACAAAAAUACCUGACUAAAACAAUUUAAAGAAAAGAUGAGUUUAAUUAAGUUUUCAGUUUGAGUAGAGAUAUAGUCCAUCAUUGCAGGGAAGUCAUGAUGGCAGGACCACGAGGGGACUAGUCACACAGUGUCUACUGUUAGGAAACAAAGUGAUGACUUCUGGUCACCAACUGAUUUCCCUAUUUUCCCCCAUUAUAUUCAGUCUAGAACCUCAGCCCAUGGCAUGGUGGCACCCACAUUUAGCAUGGACCUUCCCUCUUAAGAUAGUUCAGUCUUGCCAGGCAUUGGUGGCACACGCCUUUAAUCCCAGCACUUGGGAGGCAGAGGCAGGCGGAUCUCUCUGAGUUUGAGACCAGCUUGGUCUACAAGAGCUAGUUCCAGGGCAGCCUCCAAAGCCACAGAGAAACCCUGUCUCGAAAAACAAAAAACAAAACAAAACAAAACAAAAACAAAAAAGAUAGUUCAAUCUUUCUGGAAACACUGCAUCUAUAUGGCCCCAACACUUGUUUUCAGAGUGAUUCUAAUCACUGGAGACCUUGCUUUACUAAAUAUUUUCAGCACCAGACAGGGUGCAGUGGGGCAGGGCCUCCUCACUCACCCAUGUCCGAGGUGUCAUUUUGGAAGGUUGAUGGCUGGGUGUUAGAAUCAUGUGGCAACAUUUUCAAACACAAGUCUGGUGAUGGGAGAAGACCUUUAUGUUUCUCUUAUUGGUUGAUGAAUAAAACACUGUUGGCCAAUAAGGCAUGAAAAUAGGUGGAACUAGGAGGACGAGAAUUCUGGGAAAGUCAAGCAGAGUGAGCCCGCUACACAGUCUCGAUGCUGCUGAAGAAGUAACACCAUGCCGGGCAUUACCGGGUAAGCCACAGCCUCGUAGUAAUACAUAGAUUGAUAGAAAUGGGUUAAUAAUUAAGACAGAGGUAGCCAAUAAGAAGCCCAAGCCACUGGCCAACAGUUUCAUAAUUAAUAUAGCAUCUGUGUGUUUAUUUGGGGGAUCACGAGGCUGUGGGACCAGGCUGACAGGAAGAACCAUCCAAAUAGCUUUUAUUUGAAGUCUGAGCCUAUCCAUGUGGUCUACCCAUGUGUCAAUCCCAGGCCAUGGAAUGAUUUCAGUGGAAGAUUAGGCUCCAAGAAGCCAGUCCAGUCUCUAUGCUCAUUCAACCUGGAGCUGAGUUUUACUUCCAUCAUUUGGAGUAGUCUGUCUGGGAAACUGUGUUCACCUGGCUCAACUUCCUUGACCUUAAGAUCCUUCCGUUUUAAAUCCAGACUUCAGUUUAUUGAGGUGUCACUUAGAGUCACUCCUUGUAAGUGGUAGAUUUUGACGAACAUACCCAUCAACACAGCGUAACUACAGCCCUUGCAUUUUCUGCUCAGAAUAACGUUUUCCCAUUCCUAUUAUUUUGAAGUUUCCAGAUCCUCAUUUAUGAAACAAGGCUGACUUUUUUCAUACUCCUGAGUACAGCCAACAUGUUAAAAUGUAAGGUUUUAAUUGUGAUAAAAUUCACAACUUUCUUCUUUUACGAAUUAUACAUUUGGUGUCUUUUCUACAAAAUCUUUUGUUAGACAAAAGAUCACAAAUUCUUUCUCUUAAGUUCUUUUUCAGAUUUUUCUUUGCUUUAAUUUUAUUUUGAAACUCAUUUGUGUGAGUGUACCUGUCACAGUGUGUGUGGAGGUCAGAGACAACUUUCAUGAGUUGUGUUACCCACACCAGCCUAUAAAUUUGUUGAAGUGAAUUGAAUCUCUCAGAAUACAUGGGUGUAUUAAAGCCACAUCAAGAAACCCAGGUCCCGAUAUGUAGUUGACACAAUGCACCAAGGGAAGGGUGUAACUCCCUCACCUGCACCCAGGAAGAAAUGCACCGCUAGUACUACGAUGGCAGCUGCCCCCAGUGACGGAUCAUCUGACCUCCUGGGUGUGAGUCGAGGGAUCAACAGGCAGAGAAUUCCCAGCAGUCACAAGGGCUUCCACAUGACUUUGUUCCGAAAGUUGAUGUGGUCUGUCCACUGCUUUGUCCAUCCUCCUGCUUAUCUGUGUGGACCUGUCUGGACUCAUUUGUCUCUAGACCCAGCCUCACCUUUCACUUCCCCAAUAGGAUUCAACUUCACAGCUCAACCAGCAGUCCGUAUGUGACUCUAAGGUAGCUAUGACUGUUUCUCCAGCUGCUGCGGUCAGCUAUCUCACCCAUCUGGCCCUAUCUGCAUGUCUAUCACUUUCCCUGUUUCUUGGGACUUCAGAAACCUCUUAAACUCUGCUGCAGUCUCAGAACUCUUUGUAGUCAGUCACUUUGUCACUAUAUAUAUAUAUAUAUAUAUAUAUAUAUAUAUAUAUAUUGUGAAAUAUGUAAUGUGUGACCUGAGAGUUAAUAUUAGUAAUUAAGUUUUCAUUAUUGUUAGUUUUAGACAAGUUAAUAUACUCUUAUACAUACCUGGGAAGAGAGAAUCACAAAUGAGUAAUUGUCUCUGUCAGAUUGGCCUGUGGGUAUGCCUGUGUGGCAUUUUCUUGAUUGCUGCUUGGUGUAGAGGGGCCCAGACCUACCAUGGGGCAGUGCCAAACCUGGGCAGGUGGUCUUGGGUUCUAUGAGAAAACAAGCUGAGCAAGCCACAAAUAAGCAAACUAAUAAACAAAUUUCCUGCAGGGCCUCUGCUUCAGUUUCUGCCAUUGUGUCCCUGCCUUGAGUUCCUGCCCUGACUUCCCUCAGUGUAGACUGUGAUGGGAAAAUAAUGUGUAAUGAUAUGUAAGGUGAAUAAACCUUUUCCUCCCCAAAUUGCUUUUUAGUCAAGAUGUUUUAUCACAGCAGAAGAAAACAGGACAGAUUGAAAUUCUAAACACCCUGUUUGCCUCGACAUAUUGUCAAGGAAAAACAGACCAUGUGGCAAAUUGCUGUCAAAAAAAAAAUCAUCGACCCUUGCAAAUUUGUUAUGCAAUAAAUUCUGACACUGUGGGAUGACACGAACAUGUUCAUCUGUGUUUCUGGCAUAGUAGUUGCAUGACCUUCAGUGCACAUAUUUAUUUCAAAAUCUGACAAAAUGGCAAUUAUGUGCCCAAAGAACUGUGUGUUAGCCAUUCCCCAGGGACACUGUCACUGCAGCAUGGGAGAGUCCUGUGAGUGAACAGCCCCCUUCAGAGUUACAAGGUUAGUGAUGCUGCUUCUACUAGGGGCUAUUUUCAGCUGCUCAGUAUCUGGCCAGCAGAACCCAAAGCCCCUGAGCACGGAUGCAGUCUUUUGAGUAGCCUCCACUGAAUAAGUGUUUGUGGAAUGGAUGAGUGGAGGUCCCACAGGGCCAUGCAUUUAUCAUUGUGCUCAGAAUCUUGCACUAGCUCAUUCCUUAUCCUGCCUUUGCAGACACUGUUUCAAUGGGGAAAAUAAGCCUUCAGCCAGGAGGCACCAUUAUCUCCCUUGCUUCAUCCAACCUCUGCUGUGAAAGGCACAGAGCUAAGAAGAAGCAUGCAGCAUCUUUCUGCACAGGAUUUGGGCCCUUUCAGUGUUGUGUUGUUGAAGUGUCUGCAUGCCAGAUAAUGUGGUUAGUCAAUGAGCUUCUAGACACAUCUAUGGUGUCCUUCAGGCUUAAGGGAAGCAGUUGAAGGUUGCUUACCAAAAUUACUCAUACAUUCUGAUACUUAAUACCCAAAUGAAACUCUGGCAGGUACCUGCUCCUGUUUAUUGUGAGAAUCCAUUGGCCCCCUGAACACACCUGAGCUUUGGCAUUCUCUAGCUACCCCGCUAUUUAUUCUUAGAAGUUAUCUGGAGGCUGGAAUGGAGUCAUGACAGAAUAUGGUCCAAUACAAGAGGCAGCCUGUAUUGUUUGCACAAGGAAGAGCAUCGUUAUUUCAAGGCAUCAGAAUACUUAUAGUCCACAGCACCUCAAUGUGCCAGCCUGUGAGGAGGCCAGGUCUCUUCUGGACAGUUGGCCACAGUCUCUGGACUCUGGGAAAAUGUAGAGAAUGACAUCUUUCUCUGUGCCUGACCCAUGAUUCAACUGUAAUCUUAGGGCAGGUACCUUAGCCUAUGUAGCGCCAACAAGGCAGACUCAACCACCUCUUGAAUAUACUAGUUUAAAAAGGAAGUAAUGAUGAAAACCAGAGAGUGGAGAAUCAGUCAGUGGGGCCAACUGAGAAGAACAGAUGAAGGAGCCCAGAGACUAAGUUUAUCUUUGGGGUACAGACACGAGCUUAGGCUUAAACAUAGAAAGAACUGGAGUAUACAUUAGUCAUCCUGGACAAAGCGUGGUUCUAUUCAUCAGUAUCUCAGCCACCAUCUUGCAAGCUUGAGUGUUCAUGUCUGUCAUCCUCUGAGAGUGAUGCUUGUGUAGAGCUCAUCAUCUUCAUCACAGAUCACUGCUCUCAUCCUAGGGGUCUAUCCUGACCUUCCUCACGUAGAGGUGGCUUCAGUCCUUUGUCACAAAGAUGUUGAUUGACCUAUCCUUCUGUUCUUGGAACCCGAGCUGUCUCAAGAGCUGCAAGCCUACAGUUUUCCAGGAAUUUCACCCAGAAAUCCCAUGUACAGCCACGAACCCUGAACUGGCCUGAAUCGAGGUCCCUAAAGGAUGAAGAAAACUCAUCAGGCUGUCAAGAGUGACUUUGGGGUAACCUGAAUCCAUCUUUGAGGAUGGCCCCUCUUUCAGAACAUUAUUAUGACACUGCCAUUCUUGAGAUUACAGGCGGCUUUCCCAGAGCAUCACUCAUUAUCAACAGUCAACUUGACAGAACCUGGGACCGUAGAAGAGGCAAGUCUGGGGAUGUCUGCAAGACAGUUUCUAGGUUGUGUUAACUGAGAUGGGUCUUCAGACCCACCUUAAAUGUGAGAGGCACCAUCCCAUGGACUGGAGUGCUAGACUGAAUAAAAAAGGAGGGGUGAGCUGAACACCAGCAUUCAUCUCUCCUGGCUCCCCAGCUGCAGACACAGUGUGACCAGCUGCCUCUGCUCUUUACCAUGAUGGACACAUGACAUGCUGUCUCUGCUCUCUCCACCAUGGUGGAACUUGAGCCAAAAUAAAUCCUUCCUUCUUUGUAGUACUUUGUCAGAUACAGUGUAGUGACAAAGCUGCAGCUAAGAGACCGGUGUCUGCAUGCUGCUCACACCUGUCAGGACUCAGGCUUUGACUCCAGUAGCUCCAGUAACAGCUUUCUUUUUGCCUUCCCCUCAACAAAACCUUCCUCUAAGGGUUAUUAUUUCGCAGAGAACCCCUACUUUAAAGGAAUCCAUAGCGUGGAGAAUGUAUAAAAAUGAUGAUUUCUAGGACCACAAAUGUUUGCCUGGCUGUGUAACAAGGGUGUUGCAUUGGCUCACUUUCCUACCAUGGAAUACAGUCAUGGCCAGGCCAACACCAACUCAAAAGAAGACAAGGCCUGAAGGCAGCAUGGCUAGGAUGCCAGCAGCAGAAUACUGGAGUUACCAGGAAAUGAUGACAAGUACAAGUGCCCAUGCCCUGCCUAUAUACAUAGUGGGCAAUGACAAGAACCCCCUCCUAGGUCUUGAGUGACAUAUUGAUUUUGGAGUUUAGAGCAAGUGUGGAUGGAGGCCGGAGAGAGCUGGCUGCAGACACUGUGGUGACUUUCAGCCAAGCCUGGAGGGGUUUCCAGAGCCCAUGCUAGAAGGUUUUCAUGCAUGGCAGAGGUUUCCAUGAUUGCGUUGCCUGCCUUUCUGCAGAACGACACACUGACAGUCACUCUCCAAGCUUAUUAGUCACUUGCAAUUUUCAUGAAGGAGUUUAGUUCUAAUCUAGGGAAAAAAACAUAUAUAAGGUAGCAAUUUCAUAAAGCAGGACCCAAAUUGUGCACCAAGGAAUGAAUCCUCACAGGAGAUCCAGAAACUGGUAAAAGGCAAGUCCACAUGCAUCAAAGCCCAGCAGACAAGAAAUGCUUGGAUCCUUGGCUGAGUCCACACUGGCCAAGCUAGAACCACUUCUGCUCUCUGUCUCUUAUGUCAUGCUUCUUGUCUCUGGGCUCCAUGUUGCUGCAAUCCCUGCUCCAACUACAUUCUUUACUAACCUGAAUGAAAAUGUCUAUGUUCAAGGACAUCAGGCCCAGGCCUGGCAAAUCACAGCUGCACCAUGGGCCCUACUGCUCCACUUCUCACAAGCUGCUUUUUAAUCACUUCUGUUUCAAAUCUAACCCAAGUGGAGAAGACAUGAAAAGAAAAUGUAAGCUGUACUCUAAUAGAUUUUGGAAUUGGAGGCAGAAGCAGCAGGCAUCUGAUUGCUGUCCUGUGCCCAUAGGAAGGGCCAGUUCUCUUGGCAGAGAAAACCUGGUUUCUGACUCUGAGAGAUAAUAAAGGCUAACAGCCUAUGCUGUAGUGUAGGGGUGGCACUUAGAUGUGGGCAUUCUGCUUGAGGACUGGGGUGCCAGAGCAAAGGCUGUGUCAGUAUUUAAAAUUGUAAGCAGCCUCAUAGAAAAUGUGUAUUUUUCAUGUACUUUAUCGAGUGAAUUCCUCCUAUAUAUUUUUAUACAUGGAAUGUUUGAUGUGCACUCCCCCAGGUAAUUUGCUCCCAUAAUUGGCAAUAAAUGUUAGUUAAAUUUAAUAUAUUAGUGUUGUGCUGGAUAGUUUUAUGUCAACUAGACACAGCUAGAGUCAUCAAGGAGGAAGGAGCCUCCAUUGAGGAAAUGCUUCCAUAAGAUCCAGCUGUAAGGCAUUUUAUUUUCUUAAUUAGUGAUCAAUGGGGAGGGCCGAGCCCAUUGUGGAUGGUGCCAUCUCUGGGCUGGUGGUCCUAGGUUCUGUAAGAAAGCAGGCUGAGCAAGCCAUAGGGAGCAAGCCAGUAAGCAGCACCCUCCAUGGCCUCUACAUCAGUUUGUGCUGGUUCUUCCCCUGUUUGAGUUCUUGUCUUGACUCCUUUGAUGAUGAACAGUGAUAUGGAAGUGGAAGCCAACUAAACUCUUUCCUCCCCAACUUGAUUUUUGAUUGCAAUAGAAACCCAAACCAAAAUAAAUAUUUCCAGACAAUAUCAUUUUAAUUUUUGUGUAGAUUUACGCAUAUAUGAUGUGCAUGCAUACAUACAUGUGUUUAUAUGUAUGUGGAUAUACAUGUUUGGUUGGCACCAAGUUGAUGCCUAGUGUCUUCCCAAUCUCUCUCAACCUUAUAUACAGAGGCAGGGUCUCUCACUUAAACAUGGAGUUAUCCCAUUUUGUUAGUCUAGCUAUCUUGCUCACUCAGGGGAUCUCCUGUCUCUCUUCUCCAUCACUGGCCUUACACAGUGGGUCUCCAGGCCUGUUGCAUUCAUGUGGAUGAAGACUCUAGUCCUCAUGAUGGCAUGGCAAGUGAUUUACCCACUGAACCACGCAAUUCACAUAUUAUCACGUACAAUUCACACACUCUCUAAGUGUGUAUGGUGGCUAAUUUUCAUUGUCUGACUGGAAUGAGUAUCACUGUGGAGACCACAUCUCCAGGCAAGUCUAUGAUAGAAUCUCCAGAAGAUUUAACUGAGGAUCAAAGACCUACUCUAAUGGUAGACAGCACCAUCCCAUGGGCUGGGCUCCAGGACUGAAGGUGAAAGGAGGAAAGUGACCUGGAAACCUGCCUUCAUCUCUCUGCCUCUUGACAGAGGAUGCGACUCGACCAGCUGCCUUCCACUCUUGCCGCCAUCAUCACCUAAAACUAUGAGCCAAGGUACCCUAAUCAAGAUGAUCCUCCAUAAGCGUGCCCAGAGGUCCAUCACCCAAGUGAGGCUACAUUUCAUCAGGUGACAGCUGAGAUUCAGUUGACAGUGAGUGUGGCUGCUGGGACACACAUCUAUGUAUUCUAUGAGGGCCUCUCCAGGAAGCUCUAGUAGGAGGAAGACCACCCCUGAAUGUGAUGGUGCCACAUGGGAUCGCAAACUGAAUAAAAAGAAGAGAGCCGAGCAGCAACCAGCGUUCACCGCUCUCUGCUUCCUCACAGUGGAGGCCAUAUGACUGGGUGCCUCCUGCUACUGUGUCUUGCUCUCCAGGAUGGACUCUACCCUCAGCCUGAGAGCCAGAGUAAACCUUCCUUCUGUAAGCGGCUUCUGCUAGGCAUUUUGUCAAGCAAAAAGAAAGUAACAGACAUUACAAAGUAACAGAGCAUUGGGACAUUGUGUACACAGAGUGUCAAGUGGGUGUCUACAGAAAGUUCUCCAGUAGCCUGGAGGAUUCUGUGGAAGGUUCCAAAAGCACAGGCACCCUGCUUUUGGAACUCAGUGAAUUGCUACCUACACCAAGUCAUGGCUUAACUGUUCUAAUUUUCAUGCCCCACAGAAAACAGGGGGACAUUUGUGGGUUUUCUGACACUUGUUCAAUUAAUAGGGGGCAAAGUUGGUUUCUACUAACCUAAGAACAUAAGCCAAUUGUAAGUACCAAAACUGAUCAACUGACUGACACCUCUUUUUAAUACAAAGGGGACUCUCCAGAAGAUAUCUGUCCUCUUGCCUGAGCUGGAGAGAUGUCUCUCUGCACUUUAAACACUUGCUGCCCUUCCAGGGGACCCAAAUUUGGUUCCCAGCACCCAGGUUGGGUGCUGGAUAUGACACCUUCCUCUGGCCUCUGGGCAGGUAAUACCAUAGUUGUGGCACAGACACAAAUAAAAAUAAAAAUAAAAAUCUUACAAAGGAGAUCCUUCUGCUUGAGCCUACCUGGAGCCAAGUUACAGCCAUGCAGCACUGCACCUGGUUUAAUAAUUGGAAAAAACAAUGGUAGUUAGUUUUUAUUUUUGACAUGUUUUCCAUCCUUAAAGUUGGGUAGAAGAUGGCAGUAUCAGCUCAUAAUUGCUGCAAAUUUAACAUAUUGAAUUUUUGUUUGUCAAUUCAUAAUUCACUCAAUGUUUCCUUUGGUUCAGACUUCAAGUCUCCACAAAGAGUCUUCAUUAAAUCUUUGUCACUGCAUUCAUUUUUCCAUGUGACCUACCACUGUGCAUGGCAUGGCAGCCUUCAAGCUGAUUUUCUGUCUCCUUAAUGUGAAUGUGAAAUAUUAAACCUUAUCCAGAAAUACACAGCAAAGAUUGCAAGUUAUAUACAGAGCUGACAUCUGCUAAUCAAAUAAAUUUGUGAUGGAGAGGGAUAUUUAGCUCUUUUAUUGUUGUUUUUUGCAUGUAUAGAUGUAAUAGUAUUUGAAGUCAAACAGAACAAAUUCCAGUUUGUUCAUUUGCACAGCAACUUGCAAUUUGGCUCAGCUGGUUUUACUACUGCUUCUCUCACAAGACAGCGUUUAAGUGCAAAUGUUUUUUGGGAAGUUCAGGUGCAGAUAGGAGGAAGUAAAGAAUGAUGGGAGGUGGGAAAUUUUGUGGAGGGUGGGCUCUGGGAAAUAGAAUAGAACAUUCAUCCCAGAAUGAUCCCACCAUAAGAGGGUAAGAAGCUAAAGCAUUUACACCUCACUACCCCAGGGUAACUGGCUAUGGAAAUUGAGCCCCUCUCCACUUUGGGCUUUCCAUGUAGUGAGGCAGAAAGGGAACCAGAAACCACAGGCUGCCAGCUAAAGGUUAGUUAGCUAGAGGGCAUGGAAAAGUACAAUCUGAGGGGCAGGGCACAGACAGUUAUGGUGCCUGCACCCUGAAGAUGUUGUCCCUGUAAGGUAUCUAGAGCCUAGGUUGUGACCUUGAGAGCAGGGAUGUGUGCUGCACUUCCCAGGGCUGCACCACUUGUUUCCAGAGUCUCUCAGACCCUCAUUUCCACUCCCAACUUGGUCAGUACCAGAAGUUGUUGCUGAACAGCAGUGCAUGGAGCAGCUAAGUCAUUAGAAAUGAUGCAGGUUAAACAUACAUAGAUAUGUGUUCUAGUUUCCUUCUGUUGCUGUGAUAAAACACUCCAUCAAAAAGCAACUUGGGGAUGAAAGGGUUUAUUUAACUUAUACUUCCAGAUCAUAGUCCAUCACUGAGGGAAGUCAGGACAGGGCCUCAAGCAGAAACUUGAAAUGGAGACCAUGGAUGGAUGCUGCUUGCUGGCUCACUCUCAGACCCAUGCUUAGCUAGCUUUCUUGUAUGGCUUGGGACCACCUGACAAGGACUGGUGCCACCCACAAUGGUCUGGGUCUUCUUAUACCAAAUAACAAUCAAGACAACCUCCCACAGAAAUGCCCACUGGCCAGUCUAAUCUGGGCAAGCACUCAGUUAAGAGUCACUUCUCAAUUAGAGAAAAGACUGUGUCAAAUUAACACGAAGCUAUUUAGAACAAUGGCAUAGUUUAAAGAAUGAAGAGGCCUCCCUAGGUCACCUAUGACUUGUGGGGGCUCCUUUGGGGCCCCAGAUCCGAUCUCUGCUCUGGCUCCCACGGCUGCAUAUCUAGUUGCCACAAAAUCUUUAUCCUAUUUCUCAGCCAUUUAUCAGUCCUGAUAUUAUUACAUUGGGAAAUGGUCGACCAGAUGGACUGAACUAUAAGUUAUCAAGUUGAAAUAUAUGCUUUAAAUAUCUAUUUUUCUAUUUCCUGGGUUUCAUUAAUGGAAAUCAACAAGCAAUUAAGCAAAAGUUCAGCCAGAAAAAUCUGUGGCAAAUUGUAAUAAGAUGUAGUUCCAGCAAUCAGAGACUCUGAACUUAAUUAACACUCUGCUAUUCUGAAUUUUUGUAAUAUGGAUUUAGAUGCCUUUUUAUAACUCCAAUUUUAUAUUGGGAUGGAUUUUCUAUUAAUAUGUAAGUCACUAGUAGUAUUAACCAAUGCAUGUAACCUACUGACCCUCAGCAAAUUAUUUGUUACAAUAAAAUACUAAUGUAAA
ensembl:lncRNA